rnacentral:rRNA from 1 species
UACGUAGGGUGCAAGCGUUGUCCGGAAUUAUUGGGCGUAAAGAGUUCGUAGGCGGUCUGUCGAGUCGGCGGUGAAAACUCGGGGCUCAACCCCGAGCCUGCAGUCGAUACGGGCAGACUAGAGUGCAGUAGGGGAGGCUGGAAUUCCUGGUGUAGCGGUGAAAUGCGCAGAUAUCAGGAGGAACACCGGUGGCGAAGGCGGGUCUCUGGGCAGUAACUGACGCUGAGGAGCGAAAGCGUGGGGAGCAAACAGG